rnacentral:tRNA from 1 species
GCUCUAGUAGCUUAAUUGAUAAAGCACCGGUCUUGUAAUCCGAAGAUUGAAGGUUAAACCCCAUCCUAGCGCC